GACAGAGGGUGCAAACGUUGUUCGGAUUUACUGGGCGUAAAGCGCGUGUAGGCGGCUUCGUAAGUUGGAUGUGAAAUCCCACGGCUCAACCGUGGACGUGCAUCCAAAACUACGUCGCUGGAGUCUCGGAGAGGAAGGUGGAAUGCUUGGUGUAGAGGUGAAAUUCGUAGAUAUCAAGCAGAACACCUGCGGCGAAGGCGGCCUUCUGGACGAUGACUGACGCUGAGACACGAAAGCGUGGGGAGCAAACAGG
rnacentral:rRNA from 1 species